rnacentral:rRNA from 1 species
GAUGAACGCUGGCGGCGUGCCUAAUACAUGCAAGUCGAGCGAACAGACGAGGAGCUUGCUCCUCUGACGUUAGCGGCGGACGGGUGAGUAACACGUGGAUAACCUACCUAUAAGACUGGGAUAACUUCGGGAAACCGGAGCUAAUACCGGAUAAUAUAUUGAACCGCAUGGUUCAACAGUGAAAGACGGUUUUGCUGUCACUUAUAGAUGGAUCCGCGCCGCAUUAGCUAGUUGGUAAGGUAACGGUUUACCAAGGCGACGAUGCGUAGCCGACCUGAGAGGGUGAUCGGCCACACUGGAACUGAGACACGGUCCAGACUCCUACGGGAGGCAGCAGUAGGGAAUCUUCCGCAAUGGGCGAAAGCCUGACGGAGCAACGCCGCGUGAGUGAUGAAGGUCUUCGGAUCGUAAAACUCUGUUAUUAGGGAAGAACAAAUGUGUAAGUAACUAUGCACGUCUUGACGGUACCUAAUCAGAAAGCCACGGCUAACUACGUG